rnacentral:lncRNA from 1 species
UGCCAUAUUACCUAUUAUUUUUUUUCUAAAACGUGCUUUGUAUAUAGAAAUAAGAAGAUGAGGUAUGAGUGCCAAAUGAGACAUCUUUCCAACAAAGACAUAAUUUAGUAAAGUAAGCAGUCAUAGGUCCAAUGCUGAAAAGUAAGCUAUUAAUGACCCAAAAAUUACUUGUGUAAAACAAUCCAAACAAAAAAAAAACCCAAAAAAAACGGCCCAAUUAAAUAUAUAAAAGGACAAGAAAUCUAUCCCAUAAAAAAAAAUAUUGUAUAGGAGCCUGUAUUUCAGUGGUUGUCGUUUGUUUAUGUGUUACAUAUUUGUUUUUCGUUCAUUUUUCUUUAUAUAAAUAAGGC